rnacentral:misc_RNA from 1 species
UCCGGCUUGUCACCGGCAGUUCCCUUAAAGUACUCAGCAUUACCUGCUAGCAACUAAGGGUAAGGGUUGCGCUCGUUGCGGGACUUAACCCAACAUCUCACGACACGAGCUGACGACAGCCAUGCAGCACCUGUACUAGUCCAGCCGAGCUGACCAACUACUUUCAUAGUCGUACGACUAGUAUGUCAAGGCUUGGUAAGGUUUUUCGCGUAGCAUCGAAUUAAACCACAUGUUCCACCGCUUGUGCGGGUCCCCGUCAAUUCCUUUGAGUUUUAAUCUUGCGACCGUACUUCCCAGGCGGAGUGCUUAACGCGUUAGCUGCGGCACCGAACAUAACAUCCAGCACCUAGCACUCAUCGUUUACUGCGUGGACUAC